CCUCUUUCUUAGGCACUGAGUAGGCAUGCACAUCACAUAAGCUGGAGCUCGAAUACUUUAGGUUGACAAGCACCAGUGCAGUACACAAUUCAGGCAUUACUAGUAGAAUUUUCUCAAAUCGUUUGCCAUGUAUCUUCCAGGCCAACAAUGGGUUUUUCUACAGUGAGGUACUGUGUAAGAUCAUUCUUAUUCUUAUUGCGACCUGUCCGAGAAAUUACAUUCUGCAACAAACAUUUCGAGAUCCCAUGACAAGAGACAGAAGAAACGGAAUUUUAUGACUUCACAAAGGCAGCAACCACAGCAACUUCUCCAAGAUUGACGCAGUUCCUCCAAAUACCGAUUGAUUAUACAAGAUUGCCUCGACCAUUUAAUUUGCUCGUCUCAUACAUGGCAACACCAGCACAGGCAGAAUCAGAUCAAGCUACAAAGAGAGGCUCUGGCUCAACUUUUCUCCUGAUCCUGGAAAUCGAUCACCAAACUCUGAAUCAGCAAUUAGAGAAGCAAAAGCAUUCUUCAGUCAUUCUAAAUUUAUUUAUUUAUUUGGAGAAAAACAAACUGAG
rnacentral:lncRNA from 1 species